AGCAGCCGCGGUAAUUCCAGCUCCAAUAGCGUAUAUUAAAGUUGUUGCAGUUAAAAAGCUCGUAGUUGAAUUUCGGGGUUAGUAGGUUGGUCAUGCCUCCGGUAUGUACUGAUCUCACUGAUUCCUCCUUCCUUAUGAACCGUAAUGCCAUUAAUUUGGUGUUGCGGGGAAUUUGGACUGUUACUUUGAAAAAUUAGAGUGUUUAAAGCAGGCUAACGCUUGAAUACAUUAGCACGGAAUAAUGAAAUAGGACGUUCGACCUUAUUUUGUUGGUUUCUAGGAUUGACGUAAUGAUUAAUAGGGAUAGUUGGGGGCAUUAGUAUUCAAUUGUCAGAGGUGAAAUUCUUGGAUUUAUUGAAGACUAACUACUGCGAAAGCAUUUGCCAAGGAUGUUUUCAUUAAUCAAGAACGAAAGUUAGGGGAUCGAAGACGAUCAGAUACCGUCGUAGU
rnacentral:rRNA from 1 species